AUGGCCUGGGAGUUUGGGUGAGGAGCCUGACCCAGCGGACUUCCUAGGAGGAAAUAACUCUGCUUCUCAAUCACAGACUUGUGACUUUCUGCAGCCACCCAGAACAGGCUGUUCCAAGGGAGCCCCUCCACCUCAACCUCACGUCCUUCAUCUUUUAGGGGACUUACUCCAUUUGACCAGCUCUACCAUGUCCUCAGGCCUCUGAACGGCUUAAAGGAGACUCUUCUCCACAAGACAGUGAGAUGGUGUCCAUGUGGAAACACACUGUGUCCGCUGAAGUGCCUGAAGCCCAACAUUGUUGCAGAGCAGGAAAAUGGUAUCAGAAUAGCUCAAAAAACCUCAACAACCUGCAUCAGAAGGAAAACCUCCUGCCGUGUCAUCUUGCCCAGGCCUUCCAGUGAGGCAGCCUUUCCCGGCUCUGUCAAGGAGCAUCUCUCAAGUACCAAAAGCAUUGCUGCUGUUUGCAAAGAGCUCUCCAGGCAUCUAGGCACGUUCGCUUGUGAGUGGUGGCAUUUGGGACCAAGAUACGGAAAACCAGGGCCUGUGCUGCUGGAACAGUUACCAAGGAUAUUUAUGCCAGCAACUCUCUCCUGCAGGACUUCUCAAGGUUUUGUUUCUUUUCACCCGUUGCCCUAUGAAUGCCCUGUACCACGUUUU